UACGUAGGGCGCAAGCGUUGUCCGGAAUUAUUGGGCGUAAAGAGCUCGUAGGCGGUUUGUCGCGUCUGCUGUGAAAACCUGAGGCUCAACCUCGGGCUUGCAGUGGGUACGGGCAGACUAGAGUGCGGUAGGGGUGACUGGAAUUCCUGGUGUAGCGGUGGAAUGCGCAGAUAUCAGGAGGAACACCGAUGGCGAAGGCAGGUCACUGGGCCGCAACUGACGCUGAGGAGCGAAAGCAUGGGGAGCGAACAGG
rnacentral:rRNA from 2 species